rnacentral:rRNA from 1 species
AGUCGAACGCGAAAGGGGCUUCGGCCCCGAGUAGAGUGGCGAACGGGCGAGUAAUGCGUUUCUAACGUACCCCGAGGUCAGGGAUAGCUCACCGAAAGGUGUGGUAAUACCUGAUGAUCCCAUCGAGCCGCAUGGCUUGGUGGGCAAAGGCUUGCUGCCUUGGGAUCGGGAAACGUCCUAUCAGGUCGUUGGUGAGGUAACGGCUCACCAAGCCUAAGACGGGUAGCGGGUGUGAGAGCAUGACCCGCCGCAUCGGGACUGAGACACUGCCCGGACUCCUACGGGAGGCUGCAGUAACGAGUCUUCCGCAAUGCGCGAAAGCGUGACGGAGCAAUGCCGCGUGCAGGAUGAAGCCCCUCGGGGUGUAAACUGCUGUCAGGGUUUAGCAACACAAUGAGCAGACCCAGAGGAAGAGCCGGCUAACUCUGUGCCAGCAGCCGCGGUAAUACAGAGGGCUCAAGCGUUGAUCGGAAUCACUGGGCUUAAAGGGUGCGCAGGCGGAAACGUAAGUGCCUUGUGAAAUCCCACGGCUCAACCGUGGAACUGCAGGGCAUACUGCGUUUCUUGAGGCCGGUAGGGGGCUGUCGGAACUCUAGGUGUACCGGUGAAAUGCGUAGAUAUCUAGA